AUUGGACGCUGGCGGCAUGCUUUACACAUGCAAGUCGAACGGUAACAGGCCGUAAGGUGCUGACGAGUGGCGAACGGGUGAGUAAUGCAUCGGAACGUGCCCAGUCGUGGGGGAUAACGCAGCGAAAGCUGCGCUAAUACCGCAUACGAUCUAUGGAUGAAAGCGGGGGACCGUAAGGCCUCGCGCGAUUGGAGCGGCCGAUGUCAGAUUAGGUAGUUGGUGGGGUAAAGGCUCACCAAGCCAACGAUCUGUAGCUGGUCUGAGAGGACGACCAGCCACACUGGGACUGAGACACGGCCCAGACUCCUACGGGAGGCAGCAGUGGGGAAUUUUGGACAAUGGGCGCAAGCCUGAUCCAGCAAUGCCGCGUGCAGGAAGAAGGCCUUCGGGUUGUAAACUGCUUUUGUACGGAACGAAACGGCCUGGGUUAAUACCUCGGGCUAAUGACGGUACCGUAAGAAUAAGCACCGGCUAACUACGUGCCAGCCGCCGCCGUAACAC
rnacentral:rRNA from 1 species